rnacentral:rRNA from 1 species
GACGAACGCUGGCGGCGUGCUUAACACAUGCAAGUCGAACGGAAAGGCCCUGCUUGCAGGGUGUUCGAGUGGCGAACGGGUGAGUAACACGUGGGUGACCUGCCCCGUACUCUGGGAUAAGCCUUGGAAACUGUGUCUAAUACCGGAUAUGAGCCAUCCUGAUGCUGGUUGGUGGUUGGAAUUUUUUUUGGGGUGGGAGUGGGCUGCCGGCUAGCCUGUUUGUUGGGGGGUGAGUGGCUAACAAGGCGUCGGAUGGCUGGCCGGCUUGGGAGGGGGACCGGCCCCAUUGGGACUGAGAAAGGGCCCGGCUUCCUACGGGGGGAAGAAGUGGGGAAAAUGGCAAAAGGGGGGGAAGCCGGAUGCAGCAACGCCGCGUGGGGGAUGACGGCCUUCGGGUUGUAACCCGCUUUCGUCGGGGACGAAGCGUGAGUGACGGUACCUGGAGAAGAAGCACCGGCUAACUACGUG